GUUGGGCAUGGGGGCGCAUGCCUGUCAUCCCAGCCACUCAGGAGGCUGAGGCAGGAGGUUGCCAAAUAGCGAGGCCCUGAGCACCUUAAUGAGACCCUGUCUCAA
rnacentral:sRNA from 1 species